ACUCGAUAGCGUAAAAGGUAACUCUAAUUUGUAUGGAGUUGUAAUAAAUGCCUACGUUUGCCACUAGGAGCGCUGUUCUAACUGCAUACAAAUUUGAGGUAACUUCUACGCUAUGGA
rnacentral:pre_miRNA from 9 species